CAGUAGCUCAAUGGAUAGAGCACUGGCCUCCGGAGCCGGGUGCGUAGGUUCGAUUCCUAUCUGGUGC
rnacentral:tRNA from 1 species